AUGAUUCCAACAUUACGCACCCACAUUCUUAAUUUGAUGAUAUUAUUUUAGUAUUAGAAUCCAUAAUUCCAUAUCAUUUUAACUUUUUUUUUACAAAAAAUAGCUUUAAUAGGUUAAAAUAUUUUUAGUUGUUAGGUUUUUUAUUUUAGGGGGGGGAGGAAAAUCAGUGGGGAUUAAACCCGCACUAGGUUGUGCUAAAAAAAUAUUAGAAUCCAAUUCAUAAUUUCACAAUAUCUCUUUUCAUAAACGAUAUACCAAAACAGAGCCAAUGAAUUUAAAGAAUAUAUCUGUGGAAAUUCGAAUUCAAGUUGAUAUUCCAAACCUUAAUUUACUUUCCAUUAGACCAAUCAUUAAAGUUAAACAAGUAAAAUUCUAAAUCAACCAUAAUAGGAGUCGAACCCACAAAUUUUUUUUUAACUAUUUCUCGAUUUAUGCGUGUGAUCAUUGUGCAAGGACAAUGAUAAUCCUUUCAUCAUACAAUUGAAAUUGAAGAAAGGAAAAGUCGAGUUUGGAACCUUGUGUGGAUGAGUAAACUAAAAAACAAUUGAUGUUAAGUAAAAAACUUUGUCAUUAAGCUUUGUAUUUUGAAAUGCAGUCUAAUCCAAACCAGUUAGAAACGACCAUACGCGUGCGUUAGGAUGCAUGCUUAUCUGAACUGCAUGAACCCAUGUGUCCAGAAAAGCUGAUGAUCUGCCAUGCGACAACUAAAUCUUUCCUCAUAAUAUAAAUAUCUAUAAUAUUUGAUUGGAAAUUUGAAACCCUACCAACACCAUCCAUCAUCAAGUAACCCAGUUUUUUCAUCAUGCAUGUUGGAGCGUGGGAGUACUGUUUCUGCAUUUUCAUGUCUUAUAAUUCGAGGGAUGGCCUCACAUCAAUUAUUACACCCAUCCAUGAGACAUGUCGGCCUUUCGGGACCACUUACGGGUGAAAGACUUCCAUAGCAAAUCUGAUGCGAAGACAAACGUACACUAUUCUUAUGUCAUUAGCAUGAAAUAUAUAUUAUGAUGAAGGUGUAUCCGUAUAGUGUAAGUUGUUAUUCACUUGUGGAAUUCCAAGCCAAAAUAUUCUAUGAAUAUGAGUUGAGACUUUGACGUGUAAGCAAGGGAUGUAUCCGUUUGCCUUUACAACUUUAUCGUGGUGAGAAGUAUAGAUGGAAAUAAGAAGUACUAUAUAUUAAUGUAUGGUAUACUUCGUGUUUUGAGUGACUUUGAUUGCAUGCAUCUAAUUCUCUAAAAAAUUUCAACUUUGAAGUAUUCUAAACUAUCUACGACCUAUUUGUUUGGUGAUAUUUCUCCUCCACACCAUUGAAAUAGGUUGCAAAUUCAACUCACAGCCUUCAUUGCUUAUUUUAAAUAAACGUAAUCUUACACAUGUGAGUUAGGAUAGUUGACCGGACUAAUAUUUCCAUUUUUCUUUUCAUCGAAGUUCAAAUCCGCUAGCCUAUAUCGAAAACCUGAAUUUUACUUUUGAAGUAGUGAAUAUUUGAAGGCCCCAAAAUUUAAUCUUUGCGGUGUACAGGCCGAAUCAUGAAUUUAUCUGGGGACACAACUUCUUCGUCCUAAUUAAACUGGGCCUAUUUUUAGGCCCAUUAAACAUUUAUGUACA
rnacentral:sRNA from 1 species